ACUUCGUAUUUUUUCCGCUUUCUCUAAAAUUUCGAACCCUAGCUAAUGACUUCGCAGCUCACCUUGUCGACCUCAUCAUUCUCCAAGCUGAAGUUCGUCGAGUCCCGACCUCCUUCUCCGACCCAAGCCGACUGGAGCCGCCUCCAACCUGACCCCAAGUCCCCGACCUCAGUCUCUGACCCCGUGUUCCCCUGCCUCGCUCUCUAACCCUGAGUCCCUGAUCUCGUUCACCAGACCUCGAGCUUGAGAUCUGAUCUGACCUGGAGCUUAUCGCCGGACCUGAGCUUGUCAUUCUCCAACUUGAGCCAGCUCUAGCUAGUUCUCCAACGUCUAGUCUUGUGUGUGCAGCGGUAGCAUUUGGAGUUGGUGUGGGUUUUAAAGACGGCGUUUGCAAGGCAACCGAGUUUUUUGCCGGGUUCGUGUUCUUUCAUAUGGUAUUGCUGGUGCAAUCAUCUUUAGGUUGACAUUGAUACUCCUCGGAACAGUCACACUUCAGAGGUUUGAGGCAGUAAAUCUUUUCCUCGCUGCAAUAUUACUUUACUCAUCCUUCAAGUUAUUUUCCAGUGAAGAAGAUGACACCGAUCUGUCUGACAACUUUGUUGUGAAGACAUGCCAGAAAUUUAUCCCUUUCACCGGCACGACUUCAGGUUUCUGAAGUGGUUCUCGAGCAGAUAAGGCAAUUUAACCACCUUGAUUUGGAGCUUUAUAAAUAUGCAAAGGAUAUCUUUACAAAGCGACACAAGCAUGCAGUGCAAGCUUUUGGGAGUUCAGACAGAUGGGAGAGUAUCCGGAGUCCUGCUUGAUUUUCUAGUAUAGUGCUUCAAAGGUUUUAGACCAAAAAAUGGCUGUGAGAAAGACUACAGUUGGGACAUGUUUCACAGGUACUCUGGGGCCAAAUUGCUGAGACAGAUCAAUCUGGGUGAGAUGGAUAAGAAGAUUAAGAAGAAGGAGGGUUUUGAAACUGGAUUUUGAAGGGCUCUGUGCAAAUUGUAGAGAUUUGUUCUGGCGGAGUGAUGUGAAUGAGUCUUGCAUAAAGAAAGAGGGAAAGAAUUUGCGAAUUGGUUUUGAGGAGUUUUUUCUGGAAGAACAUGAAUGUUCUUCACUUCCACAACUUUCACAGUUCAUAGUAGGAAUUAAGAAAGACAGUCUUUGCUAAUGAGAUGGAGGUGGUUUGUAGGGCUGAAAAAAGACUUUUUUACAUUUACAGAGGAACGUAUGCUUCUCUAUGUCGCUCUUUUGGCCCUUGGUUUCUCUUCCUAUCUGGGUAACAACCUUGGUGCCAUAAUCCAUGUUCAUGGCAGCUUCAACUUUUCUGCUCUUCUAGCGUUGAAAUAUUCUCCUUGAUAGC